AUGCAUGUGGAAGUACAAGCUGUGUCUGACACGACAAGACCGUUUACCUCUCAUUAAAUCAGUCGUGGUCCAUAUGUGCCAGAGUUGAUCCUACUUGGACAACUGUGGUAAUUCCAGAGCUAAUACAUGCAACUCUUAUCCUGAAGGAUUGGCAUGCUCUUUGACGGAUGCUUUUAUUAGACCAAACCGCUGGGUUAGCCGUGUUUCACUUCGGUGUUCCCACGUUUGACUCGAGUGAUGGUGACUCUGAAUAACAUUUUUCUUGACAAGCGCAAGUACCCCUCUUAUGAGUUGGGACGGCGCUACCACUUUCGAGUGUCUGACUUAUCAGCUAUCAACCGUUCGUUAUGUGCGACCGAUGGCUUUGACGGGUAACGGGGAAUCAGAGUUCGAUUCCGGAGAGGCAGCCUGAGAGACGGCUACCACGUCCAAGGACGGCAGCAGGCACGCAAAUUACCCAAUCCCAGCACCUGGGGGAGGUAGUGACGAAAUCUAACGAUGCGGGCGCCCUUUCUGGGGCCCCGCAAUCGGAAUGGCCACUUUCUAAAAAACCUGUUGAGAACCUACUGAAGGGCAAGUCUGGUGCCAGCAGCCGCGGUAAUUCCAGCUUCAGUAGCAUCUAUUAAAGUUGCUGCGGUUAAAAGGCUCGCAGUUGAAUGUCAGUACCGAGCGCAGGUCAGGUGGACGCUGGGGCGUGGGAAUACAAGGCGUGCGUUUCGUGUUUCUUUCUCUCGCGCGCGUGCGCUUCAUACAUUGAGUGCGUUCGCGCGUACGAGAUUGUGUUGUCGU
rnacentral:rRNA from 1 species